AUACGUAGGUGGCAAGCGUUGUCCGGAAUUAUUGGGCGUAAAGCGCGCGCAGGCGGCUUCUUAAGUCUGAUGUGAAAUCUUGCGGCUCGACCGCAAACGGUCAUUGGAAACUGGGAAGCUUGAGUACAGAAGAGGAGAGUAGAAUUCCACGUGUAGCGGUGAAAUGCGUAGAUAUGUGGAGGAAUACCAGUGGCGAAGGCGGCUCUCUGGUCUGUAACUGACGCUGAGGCGCGAAAGCGUGGGGAGCAAACAGGGUUAGAUACCCUGGUAGUCCACGCCGUAAACGAUGAAUGCUAGGUGUUAGGGGGGUCCAACCCCUUAGUGCUGAAGUUAACACAUUAAGCAUUCCGCCUGGGGAGUACGACCGCAAGGUUGAA
rnacentral:rRNA from 1 species